rnacentral:lncRNA from 1 species
AUGCUAGCCAAAAUCUCAGCAGCUCAACACAGUCUCCUGUUAACAUCGCAGUUACUUGCUCAUGUCAUGGUUCAAAGUGGGUGCUCCAGAUGUGUCACGACCAAGCUACUUCCAUCUUAUGACUCUACCGUCUUCAACUCUGGCCUCCAAUAUCCACCAGCAAAGAAAGAGGAGAGGGCGUGGAGGUGUAGUCUGGUAGGAGAGGGAAAGAAAACAUUAAUGAUGGGCUGCCAGAUGCAGUGGUCGUAUUGAGUCCUAAAGGAUCCCAAUAGGAAGCCAGUUAUGGUUUUUGUACAGUUAACCCAUGCCACUGGGGAGGAGGCUGAGGCUUGGUGCAGUUCUGCCUCACACCUUGUAACUCCACAACACAGCUGGGACUGAAUCCAGGUUUCCAUUUGGUAUGUUCCAGUGAAAUCUUACUGCUUCCAAGUCUAGCAGCUAUGCCAUUAAAAAUGUGUGUAUAUGAGUUUAUAGAGUUGAAAUUCUUGUUCUUUUAUCUUUCUUUCCAUUUUCUUGGUGUCAUUCUCCCAUUGCUUUAUUCUCAUUUUUCACUGCAUGAUUCCGAAGAGACUCUAGGUUAUUUCUCCUCCUGUGGAACAAAGAUUACUGGAACUCUGCAUGAAUAUUUCAGAACAUAAAACAGUUGCUUCCCUGCCCCUAAUAACCCCAGCUACCAGGCAAAGAAAUCACAUUGAAGGCUUGCUUCCAUCUGCCAGUUUGAAAGCAGUAUGAGGACAUAAGAGGGAGCUUGAAGGACUCAAGGUAAAUGAUCUACUUCCAUAUGGUGUCUAGAGGAGAGGAUGUGCUUGAUAACUUCAGUAAGAAAGGUCAUCUACAUCUGCACAGGGCUUCUGUGGAGACUUUGCAGGUGAGAUAAGGGUUAGUGCCAUUUGUAGCUUCAGAUCUGUUUGACAAAUGCUUUUCAAAGUGUGGUGUUUUUGCUGGGGCAACAAAGAUGAUUAACACAGGGUCUUUACCCUCCAGUCACUGGCAGGGGGCCAGGUGGAGUCAAUGAACACUCAAGGACCACUCUAGGCAACCCCACUGAGCCCUUGGAUGUGUUAUUGCAAAGAAACCAGCAGGACCUUAAAUGGUCACAAGCAGUUGUCACAGCAAAACAACUUCUGAGAAUCAUUAGGUAAAGGAAUCUUAUAGACCAAGCUUUCUAGGGAAGAAGACUCUGACCAAACCAGCCAGGGCCCAGCAGGAGAUCUGGCACUGCAUAAACAGCUAUCUUCCCUACCAACAAAAACUGCUACCUGAUUCAUUUCAUUAAAUUCUGCAUACCAUCAGAAAU